CACACAGUGAGACACACACGUAUCCUCUGUACAGUCUCAGUGUUCAGCUUCAUCAUGGCCGGACGUCUGCUGUUUGUCUUCUUCAUGUAUGUCUUUAAUGGGAUUCAAACAGAAGCUCGUCUUCCACCUAAACUUACAGUGAAUUCAGCGGUGAUCAAAGAGACAGACUCAGUCACACUGAACUGUCAGACUCCAUCAUCUGUGUCU